rnacentral:rRNA from 1 species
UACGUAGGUGACAAGCGUUGUCCGGAUUUACUGGGCGUAAAGAGCGCGCAGGCGGUCGUUCAAGUCGAGUGUGAAAGCCCCCGGCUCAACUGGGGAGGGUCACUGCGAUACUGAUCGACUCGAAGGCAGAGAGGGUAGUGGAAUUCCGUGUAGUGUGAAAUGCGUAGAUAUCGGAGACACCAGUGCGAAGGCGACUACUGCCUGUUCUUGACGCUGAGGCGCGAAGCUAAGGGAGCAAACGGGGAUUAAGAAACCCCAGU